rnacentral:lncRNA from 1 species
GUUGUUCUAGAUUCCCGUCGUAACUUAAAGGGAAACUUUCACAAUGUCCGGAGCCCUUGAUGUCCUGCAAAUGAAGGAGGAGGAUGUCCUUAAGUUCCUUGCAGCAGGAACCCACUUAGGUGGCACCAAUCUUGACUUCCAGAUGGAACAUUCCCUACUGAAGACUGGAGCACUCAGCGUGCCACGGAAGACUGGUCUGCAGCUCCCACUGCUCAGGCCACUGAAUGGGUAGGAGCAACCACUGACUGGUCUUAAGCUGUUCUUGCAUAGGCUCUUAAGCAGCAUGGAAAAAUGGUUGAUGGAAAAUAAACAUCAGUUUCUAAA